ensembl:lincRNA Gm44115 predicted gene, 44115
GCAUCAUCUAAGAUCAGAUUUAAAAGAAAAAAAAAACUGGAAUCAAGAAGCACUGCUGGAUGCCCUCAUCUGGCUGCAGGGUGCUCUGCAAAACGUAUGCUCAAUGUAUUCUCUCUGCAAAAUGUAUGCUCAAUGUCUGCUUUUCGAAGCUUCAGUAACACAACAAAUGUGCUCCUGCUUCCCAGAUGGAAGAGCCUCAGCUGGUCAUGGAACAGACCUUACCUUGAAAAAAAACCUCCUGCAGUAUCUACCUAUUCAUGCUUAAACUUCCUAGAUGAUGGGCUCCUGAGUUUUCAAGGCAAACAUGGCACCUGAGUUUGGCAAAGUCACCAAUGGCAGCCAUGGGUUAGUGUUGAGAGGAACUUGACUUCGCAUGGCUGAUCCUAGGCUAUCUCAGUUUCACGUGGCUGGCCUUUGAGAAACUGACUAAAGCAGAUGUGAGGAAGAUGACAGAACCUUCAGAUACUAGAGGUUUGCAGGCUUGUAUCUGCCUAACUGAUAACUACCUACCACCCCAUCUACCAUCUCAGAACUCCAUUACAGGCAACCAACCAUCUCAGAACUCAGUGGUGUUAGCCAACAACCACCGAGCUGUGCUCAUGGUUUCAGGGGUAGGGUGGAGGUGAGGAAGUCAGAAGAGGUGUCCCGAGGAAGCGUCCUCUCCGCUCUGUCUGACUGAACAACAUCUACUAUGGUUUCGUUGAGCGCUGAACUGACUGGUUGUGGGUGGGGAUCACUCCCAAAGCCAUCACUGGAACUGGGAUGUGGAGGUGAAGCCAUGUCUGAACUGUGAAGCAGGAACUGGGAUGUGGAGGUGAAGCCAUGUCUGAACUGUGAAGCAGGAUGAAUGGCUAUGCACGGUGUCCCUAACGUGGUGUUGUAGGAUGCCCAGAUUUCUCCCCCAAUGCCUCAGUUCCCAGGAGCAAAUGAAUGCAGUGAACACUUCUUCCUCAGUUCUCAGAGCAUCACCAUCUAGACUACACUAGCUGAAGCAGCCACAACUUUAGCAGGACUCGAAGGAAGUAGAUAAACCCUAUCUUCUCCAUGAGGUAAAUUAAAGAAUCUACAGUCAUGUUUCAAUAUGGGGUUUCAAUAUCCCAUCAUUUUCAACAUCUUGAUAAAAAUAAACUAAUAAAUGAGCAGAUGUCAAAGGAGAGAAGAGUUAAGUGCAGAGGGCCAACCAUCAUUUACUGCCUUUUUAAAAAACUGUAUAAGGGAUUAAGCAUUAUUAAAGGCUAAGCAAGAACUUUACCACUGAACUGGAUCUCAGCUUUCUUUAGACCACACUUCUUCUGUUUUUUAAUUUUGAAGGUUAUUUCCAACUUUGAAAAGUUCCUCUUCUUUUACCCUUGCCUCCUUUAGUCCUUUCUCAUAUGUUCUUUGUUUAAAAUUAUGCGGAAUACUUUCUUUUCUUAUAGGAAUACUUGGGACUUUCAUAUAGACCUCACUGGCUACAGCUAUUGCAACUUGGUUCUUUAGAGGCAGGAAAGUGAUGUUGCUGAGAUCUGAAGAAACAGCCACUUCCAAGCAAUAUUCAGCAUCAAACCAACUGCUAUCAUUGGUGCAACCCAAGUCUGUGUCCUCUUACACAUUUCCACCAUCGAAGGAUACUUCCUAUUCCCUCAUUCUCUUCAGAUCGUCAGGUCCAAAUUCACCCACGGCCUCUGCACCAUUUACAAAAAUAUAUCUGUUCAACAGAGUGGAAUGAAGAUGGCUUCUGCCAACACCUGGUGUCCUGGAGUGUGUGCUGAGACACUGCAGAUAGAAGGGGAUGAUGGGAAUAUCUCACUGUGUAGGGGGAACGAAUUCCCUUGGGGAACCAAAUUCUCUUCUUUUGUUAUAGAGGACACAGAAAUGGUACAGACUGUUGAAAACUGUUAAAAGACAGUUGGUAUCAGUGUGGCCUUCCUGACUUUUUUUAACCUGUAUUUGUAAGAAGCAAUAGAAAACAGGACUGGAUUCUACAAAGUUCCCCUGACCUUAAGGAUCUGUGUGUUAACUGAUUUACCCGAGUCUGAAUCUCAAUUCACUUUAAAAUAAAUCCACAAAUGUGC